GUGUUGUCUUCUACUUCCACUUUUUUUUCGUUUUCUUUUUUCUCCACUUCCUCUCCUUCUUUCUUCGCUGUUGACGAAAGAGAAGAAAGAGAAGAAAGAGAAGAGAGGUUUGAUAAAAAGGACAA
rnacentral:ribozyme from 13 species